rnacentral:rRNA from 1 species
AGGGGAGUGAAAUAGAACCUGAAACCGUGUGCUUACAAGUAGUCAGAGCCCGUUAAUGGGUGAUGGCGUGCCUUUUGUAGAAUGAACCGGCGAGUUACGAUUUGAUGCAAGGUUAAGCAGUAAAUGUGGAGCCGUAGCGAAAGCGAGUCUGAAUAGGGCGUUUAGUAUUUGGUCGUAGACCCGAAACCAGGUGAUCUACCCUUGGUCAGGUUGAAGUUCAGGUAACACUGAAUGGAGGACCGAACCGACUUACGUUGAAAAGUGAGCGGAUGAACUGAGGGUAGCGGAGAAAUUCCAAUCGAACCUGGAGAUAGCUGGUUCUCUCCGAAAUAGCUUUAGGGCUAGCCUCAAGUGAUGAUUAUUGGAGGUAGAGCACUGUUUGGACGAGGGGCCCCUCUCGGGUUACCGAAUUCAGACAAACUCCGAAUGCCAAUUAAUUUAACUUGGGAGUCAGAACAUGGGUGAUAAGGUCCGUGUUCGAAAGGGAAACAGCCCAGACCACCAGCUAAGGUCCCAAAAUAUAUGUUAAGUGGAAAAGGAUGUGGCGUUGCCCAGACAACUAGGAUGUUGGCUUAGAAGCAGCCAUCAUUUAAAGAGUGCGUAAUAGCUCACUAGUCGAGUGACACUGCGCCGAAAAUGUACCGGGGCUAAACAUAUUACCGAAGCUGUGGAUUGUCCUUUGGACAAUGGUAGGAGAGCGUUCUAAGGGCGUUGAAGCAUGAUCGUAAGGACAUGUGGAGCGCUUAGAAGUGAGAAUGCCGGUGUGAGUAGCGAAAGACGGGUGAGAAUCCCGUCCACCGAUUGACUAAGGUUUCCAGAGGAAGGCUCGUCCGCUCUGGGUUAGUCGGGUCCUAAGCUGAGGCCGACAGGCGUAGGCGAUGGAUAACAGGUUGAU